rnacentral:rRNA from 1 species
AUUGAACGCUGGCGGCAUGCUUUACACAUGCAAGUCGAACGGCAGCACGGGUGCUUGCACCUGGUGGCGAGUGGCGGACGGGUGAGUAAUACAUCGGAACGUGUCCAGAAGAGGGGGAUAACGCAUCGAAAGAUGUGCUAAUACCGCAUAUGCUCUGAGGAGGAAAGUAGGGGAUCGAAAGACCUUACGCUUUUGGAGCGGCCGAUGUCUGAUUAGCUAGUUGGUGGGGUAAGGGCCUACCAAGGCGACGAUCAGUAGUUGGUCUGAGAGGACGACCAGCCACACUGGGACUGAGACACGGCCCAGACUCCUACGGGAGGCAGCAGU